rnacentral:rRNA from 1 species
CGUGACCAACCUGCCCCAUGCUCCAGAAUAGCUCUUGGAAACGGGUGGUAAUGNCUGGAUGCUCCAACUUGACGCAUGUCUUGUUGGAAAGUGUUUAGUGGCAUGGGAUGGGGUCGCGUCCUAUCAGCUUGUAGGCGGGGUAAUGGCCCACCUAGGCUUCGACGGGUAGCCGGCCUGAGAGGGCGGACGGCCACAUUGGGACUGAGAUACGGCCCAGACUCCUACGGGAGGCCAGCAGGA